rnacentral:rRNA from 1 species
ACGGGUGAGUAACACGUGGGUAACCUGCCCUGCACUCUGGGAUAACUCCGGGAAACCGGGGCUAAUACCGGAUACGACCUCCGAGGGCAUCUUCGGGGGUGGAAAGUUUUUCGGUGCAGGAUGGACCCGCGGCCUAUCAGCUUGUUGGUGGGGUAACGGCCCACCAAGGCGAUGACGGGUAGCCGGCCUGAGAGGGCGACCGGCCACACUGGGACUGAGACACGGCCCAGACUCCUACGGGAGGCAGCAGUGGGGAAUAUUGCACAAUGGGCGAAAGCCUGAUGCAGCGACGCCGCGUGAGGGAUGACGGCCUUCGGGUUGUAAACCUCUUUCAGCAGGGACGAAGCGCAAGUGACUGUACCUGCAGAAGAAGCACCGGCUAACUACGUGCCAGCAGCCGCGGUAAUACGUAGGGUGCGAGCGUUGUCCGGAUUUAUUGGGCGUAAAGAGCUUGUAGGCGGCUCGUCACGUCGGGUGUGAAAACUCGCGGCUCAACCGCGAGCCUGCACCCGAUACGGGCGAGCUAGAGUUCGGCAGGGGAGACUGGAAUUCCUGGUGUAGCGGUGGAAUGCGCAGAUAUCAGGAGGAACACCGGUGGCGAAGGCGGGUCUCUGGGCCGAUAC